rnacentral:lncRNA from 1 species
CCGUAAUAUGCCUAGUAAAAAGAUCCCAUAUGAUUCCUUUUCCAGUGUCAUUUGUAAAGUUACCGUUCUUCAAUCCAGGCGAUCCCCUAUUACCUACUGUGUCAAUUGAUAAUCAUUUCUAGUCCUGAACAUACAUGAAAUAUUUGCUACUGGGCGUUUAGCAAUGUCUGUUGUCUUGUGUUGACCACUGUCAUAUUUUUC